UUUAAUGUUUAUUAUUCCUCUUUAAUAAGACAAAAGUGUUCCUUAUCCAAUUACUUCAUUACUAAAAUAAUCAAUAGCUGCAGCCCUAUUUAGUUUUGACCUCCGAGCAGGUAUAUUGCGCUGGAGCUUCCUCUUCCUGUUGGGGUAACCACUGAUUAAAAUACAGGUUCAAUCCCUGCAGUCAAAAAUAAGAUCAGAAUAAUGAUUAGUGUUAAAUCGGUGACAUCACUUCCUGUUCCCUGGGCUGAACUUUGACCUCCGACAUCAAGAAGUCUCUGUGAUGCCUUCCCCAGGGCAAACCGCUGACCAGGCUGCUGCUGAACAUCUGCCCAGGCGAACAUCUGGAUCUCACUGACUCAGUCAGCAGGACACCUCAAUCAUCAUCAACCAGGCAUGACAGUUUCUCCACUGAUGGCGCCGAUCACCGUCUGCAGGAACCGCCAGACGACCCUCAAACAACGUUUCCUCCAACGGCGGAGGAAACUGAGUUUGUCAUCGGGACAGGAAACAGCCGAUUAUCCACCGAGCAGCAGAAACCUGAACGCAGACGCGACAUCAUCUCACCUUCCACCUGCAGACAGCGGUCCGGACUGAAGGUGAAGACGUGACCGACAGGGACAGAAUUCCUGAUGUCGGCAAAUGCGCAGUCAGAUCACGUCAGUAAUUUCUUUA